UCGAGCGAAGAGAUGGGAGCUUGCUCCCUGAUCUUAGCGGCGGACGGGUGAGUAACACGUGGGCAACCUGCCCUGCAGACUGGGAUAACUCCGGGAAACCGGAGCUAAUACCGGGUAAUACAUCGCACCGCAUGGUGCAAUGUUGAAAGCGCGCCAACCACUAACACAACAGAAUGGGCCCGCGCCGCAUAGCUAGUGGUAGGUAACGCUUACCAAGGGACAAUGCCUAGCGACUGAGAGGGUGAUCGCCCACACUGGACUGAGACACGCCCAGACUCCUACGGGAGGCAGCAGUAGGGAUCUCGCAUGGACGAAGUCUGACGAGCACGCGCGUGAGUGACGAAGGCCUUCGGGUCGUAAAGCUCUGUUGUUAGGGAAGAACAAGUACCGUUCGAAUAGGGCGGUACCUUGACGGUACCUAACCAGAAAGCACGGCUAACUACGUGCCAGCAGCCGCGGUAAUACGUAGGUGGCAAGCGUUGUCCGGAAUUAUUGGGCGUAAAGCGCGCGCAGGCGGUCUUUUAAGUCUGAUGUGAAAGCCCACGGCUCAACCGUGGAGGGUCAUUGGAAACUGGAGGACUUGAGUGCAGAAGAGGAGAGUGGAAUUCCACGUGUAGCGGUGAAAUGCGUAGAUAUGUGGAGGAACACCAGUGGCGAAGGCGGCUCUCUGGUCUGUAACUGACGCUGAGGCGCGAAAGCGUGGGGAGCAAACAGGAUUAGAUACCCUGGUAGUCCACGCCGUAAACGAUGAGUGCUAGGUGUUGGGGGGUUCCACCCUCAGUGCUGAAGUUAACACAUUAAGCACUCCGCCUGGGGAGUACGACCGCAAGGUUGAAACUCAAAGGAAUUGACGGGGGCCCGCACAAGCAGUGGAGCAUGUGGUUUAAUUCGAAGCAACGCGAAGAACCUUACCAGGUCUUGACAUCCUCUGACAAUCCUGGAGACAGGACGUUCCCCUUCGGGGGACAGAGUGACAGGUGGUGCAUGGUUGUCGUCAGCUCGUGUCGUGAGAUGUUGGGUUAAGUCCCGCAACGAGCGCAACCCUUGAUCUUAGUUGCCAGCAUUCAGUUGGGCACUCUAAGGUGACUGCCGGUGACAAACCGGAGGAAGGUGGGGAUGACGUCAAAUCAUCAUGCCCCUUAUGACCUGGGCUACACACGUGCUACAAUGGACGGUACAAAGGGCAGCAACACCGCGAGGUGAAGCAAAUCCCAUAAAGCCGUUCUCAGUUCGGAUUGCAGGCUGCAACUCGCCUGCAUGAAGCCGGAAUUGCUAGUAAUCGCGGAUCAGCAUGCCGCGGUGAAUACGUUCCCGGGCCUUGUACACACCGCCCGUCACACCACGAGAGUUUGUAACACCCGAAGUCGGUGGGGUAACCUUUAUGAGCCAGCCGCCGAACGGAGCACAAAUGAUUGGGGUGAAGCUAAAACCAAGGUAAAGGGUAAAGGGGGCUCUUUUGGUCUGAAACUGAUGCUGAGGCGCGAAAGCCGUGGGGAGCAAACAGGAUUAGAUACCCUUGGUAGUCCACGUCCGAAAAGAUCAGCGCG
rnacentral:rRNA from 1 species